CAAUAGCGUAUACUAAAGUUGUUGCGAUUAAAAAGCUCGUAGUUGGAUCUCAGGCAUGGGCGCACGGUCCGCCUCGCGGCGGUCACUGUGUGUUUUGUUUCCCAUCCUACGCUUCCCGGUUAUCAGCCCAUGGUGCUCUUCACUGAGCGUUUUGGGUGGCCGGAACGUUUACUUUGAAGAAAUUAGAGUGUUCAAAGCAGGCACGUCGCCUGAAUAAUGGUGCAUGGAAUAAUGGAAUAGGACCUCGGUUCUAUUUUGCUGGUUUUCGGAACACGAGGUAAUGAUUAAGAGGGACAGACGGGGGCAUCCGUAUUGCGGUGUUAGAGGUGAAAUUCUUGGAUCAUCGCAAGACGAACAACUGCGGAAGCAUUUGCCAAGCAUGUUUUCAUUAG
rnacentral:rRNA from 1 species